UACGUAGGGUGCAAGCGUUGUCCGGAAUUAUUGGGCGUAAAGCGCGUGUAGGCGGCUUUGCAAGUCGGGUGUGAGAGCCCUCGGCUCAACCGAGGAAGUGCGCCCGAAACUGCAGAGCUUGAGUACCGGAGAGGAUGGCGGAAUUCCCCAAGUAGAGGUGAAAUUCGUAGAUAUGGGGAGGAACACCGGUGGCGAAGGCGGCCAUCUGGACGGAUACUGACGCUGAGACGCGAAAGCGUGGGGAGCAAACAGG
rnacentral:rRNA from 1 species